rnacentral:lncRNA from 1 species
CCACCGAGCGCCGCCGCGCCGAUAUUGUGAUGCAGCGAGUGACAUGGAACCAUUUGCCGAGCACCGCCGGGGCCGCUGGGACUCAGUAUCUAAAUCGCAAUUUGAGUUUCCGUGUAGAGCAAGACUGGGAGAUUGCGGUAUCGAAUUGUGGCCAAAUUUGUGGAAACUGAAUCCCUGCGUUGCACUUCGUCUCACCAGCAGGUUAUCGUCCAUGAGUAGUCCGGAUAAAAAAAUUGCUCGGCACUCACACUCCUUAUAAGGAACACCUACAAUGGCAUUUGACUAAUUAAAGAGAGAUAUAUAGAAGUUCAUCCAACAGAGUAGCAGACUUCUGAAUUCGAUAGGGUACAUUGGUAGUGAUGAGAAGAGCAGGAACCUGAGAAGGAGUCAAGGAAGGGAGACAAAAGUGAAGAGAAAUGGAGGCAGGAGAACAAUGUAGUUGUUGUAAAGUGAAUCAGAGAAGAAAAUGAGGCUGAAGAGGAUCAAAGGAAAGUGACUGAGUUUCUUUCAGAGGAAUUUCACAGCACUGAGAGAGGAGGAAGCAAAACGUGGAGCCUCAUAUUUGAGAGCCUGUUCCAGACCAGAAAGUUCAUGUUUCAGCUACCAGGAAUCAGUAUCUGCUACAAAUUUCUUCGCAGUUACCCUAAGCUGCACAGUAUGCUGUCCCUUUCCUUGGGGAGACACCAAAGGAUGCUGGCUAUAUGAUCUGCAGUGCUGGAGAGAUGAGAGAUUCAUUAACAUUUUCAGAAAAACUUGGCAUUGUACACUAUGUGUCCAUGAAUAUUCCACCAUGAGGGCACAAUGGAUGAACAUGGAAUAACAUCCUAUCCCGGUAAUAUAUUCAUGGGCACAGGGUGCGGAUAUGUGUCUGAUCAAUUGCGUUUGCGCAGCUCAGGAAGCCCAUUUGUUCAAACCUUAUCGUUAUUUCAGCAAUACUUUCAGUUUUGACAGCGCUGGGGAAUAUUGACUGCCUUGCAAACCUCAAUGACUGCUCUGCUUUAUCAAUAGUAGGUUUUCCAGCCUCAGUUUGAUAAGCAAAUGACUUGUAGCAGCCGGGACAAAUAGCAACACACUUUUGGACAACAAAUAGCAGCAAACAGCAUUUCUCGGAUGAGUAUGUUGCUGCUCAGUAGCUGGGACAGAGCUCAUUAAUACCGUUAUGGAUGUGCUUUUGUUUCGUGAGAAGAUUCUGAACUUACUGCUACAUUUCCAGCACAGUUUGCUCCUCUAAGGUGAACCUGAGUUCCUGGCUCAAGAAAG